rnacentral:rRNA from 1 species
UACAGAGGUGGCAAGCGUUGUUCGGAAUUACUGGGCGUAAAGGGCGCGUAGGCGGCCCGUCAAGUCCCGUGUGAAAGCCCCCGGCUCAACCGGGGAACGGCGCGGGAAACUAGCAGGCUUGAGUUCGGGAGAGGGAAGCGGAAUUCCGGGUGUAGCGGUGAAAUGCGCAGAUAUCCGGAGGAACACCGGUGGCGAAGGCGGCUUCCUGGACCGACACUGACGCUGAGGCGCGAAAGAUAGGGGAGCAAACGGG